rnacentral:rRNA from 1 species
UCUCUAUCUGCUGUGGGCGUAGGAAUAUUGAGGAGGGCUGCUCCUAGUACGAGAGGACCGGAGUGGACGAACCGCUAGUGUACCUGUUGUGUGGUCGCAUGCAUCGCAGGGUAGCUAUGUUCGGAAGUGAUAAGCCGCUGAAUGCAUCUAAGCGCGAAGCACGCUCCAAGAUAAGUAUUCCCCAUGAGCCUCCUGGAAGACGACCAGGUAGAUAGGCGGCAGGUGUACGCAUGGUAACAUGUUCAGCCGAGCCGUACUAAUUAGGCCAUUGGCUUUAUUUA